CAAUUACAAUUAAUCUUACCUUUCUCUUGUCUUUGCAGAGGAAUCAGUGUUUCCACAUCUGUACAAGCAAUCACUACACUACAAGGGGUUGGAGAUUGAACAAGUUAUUAGAGAAGCUAAGCCAAGAUGCAGGUUUUUUUCCGCUUAGCUGGAGAUGCAAUCCUAUACACAUUUACUUGGGAGUAAAUGCCCCUACUGAAGGCAGACUUCUGAAUACAAAAUGGGUUUCUUACUCUGUUUUUUCACCUAAAGAAUUAUAAUGAGGCAGAGUGAAUGAGAUCUAUGGGGAAAGCAGUGGACCUAGAGACUAAAGGUAAAAGGAUGAUUGAUGGUAUGAAAUUACCAUAAAAGUACAAUCUGGAUCAGAUUUUAAAAUGAAUUUUUAAGCAGCCUAAGAGAUACUCUUUGAUUUGUAGUCUGGUGGAAUGAAUAAUGUCUCAUUCAGUGAAUAAAGUUUCUCACUGUGUGACUUGAGCUUUUUCUGAUCUUUCUGACUGGGAGUAAAGUGGAACCAAAGCCUAAAGUGUUUUUUAAUGCUGAAAAUAUCAAACACAAUGUUCCUAAUGUCAAAAACCAGGGCAUAGCAGGUGAGGAGAGAAAAAUAAAUAGAAGGCAACGGUAUGGUUCGAAUCAAACAACAGUGCUGCUCUCCAUUCUACGUCCUUCGCGAUUGGCAUUAAGUAUUUCAAAACAUAACCGAGAAAAGGGGUCAGACAGUUACACUGACAUGAGAGGAUAAAAACAAAUCUUUGAGUAGAUUGCGAGUUAAGCAUUCAUGAGUUGACAGAGGGACACCUUUAAGCCCACUCAAGCGCAUUAAUGUGACUGUAGUGAUUUAUUAGCACCAGAUUUCAAAGUCAAUGAUUAAAUUAAAUGCAAAAUCAUGUGCCGUUGUAUAAUACAUUCACCCUAAUAAUAUACUCCAUUUACAGCAGUUUAUUACAGACCUUACGUUUAUUAAGAGCGUGUAAGAAUAGCUUUUGACAUUUUUAAAAAUAUGCAAAUAUUAGCACAGACAAAUAUUAAUACUCUUUUAAAUAUUACUUUGAAUAUAGAAAAUCAUAUUAAGUAUUUUCAGAAUUGCUAUAGCCAUAUUGACUAUUUAAUUUUUAACCUUUUAUUAUUAAUUAAAUGCUUGGAAAUAAUUCUAGAUGUCGCUGAGUGCCACACACAAUGAUAGCCUGCUGAUUUAAACAAAGGAGCAUUAAAUUUUGAAUACAGUUAUCUUUUUCCAUAGGCUCUCUGAAUUAGAGUUAUUUCGGGCUAUUCUUAAAUAUAGCUGUGAUCAUUUUCAAAAGUAAGUAGCCAUUCCCAAAUAGACAUUUUAAAACAACAGAUAGUCCUGUCCUGUAAUGAGUUUAAUUGCAAUUUGCAUGUUUUAGCCUAAUUAAGGUAUAAUUCUAACUGCAUCUGAAAAUCCUACUGGAAAGAGUGGAUUGAUGUGGCAAUAAUGCUUGAGAUCCCAGAUACUUCAGCUGAAUUCAGCUAUUGCUGAAAUUCUUAUUUAAUGUCAAAUGUUAGUGAAGAACUUGGCUAUAAUCACAGACAUCAUCUGAGCAAUUAUAUUCUCGAUUGAGAGUAAACACUAUUUAAUUUUACCAUGUUAAUUUACAUACAAGUCUGGUUCUUGGAAAUUAAAAUAAGAUGCUUUCAUUUUCAGUAUUAAUUUUUUUGGAAACUAAUAUAUAUAUAUUCUGCCAGGAUCUUUUUUUAAUGACAUUUUCCAUUUUUUUCUCCCCUGCUGACAGUUUCCAUAAUGAAUUUAAUCAUACAGUCUGGAGAGCGAACAUGUUAUUGAACAGCCGCCAUCUCAAUGGUCAAUGUCAGUGUCAUUUUCCAGGGAGCAGGGCUCUCUGAGCAUCAAGGAACAACCCUGAUUCUAACAGCCUCCUAGAAAAGUGUUAAGUGCAUUAAAUCUCUGUCAAUCACUUUUCCCUCCCAUUCGCUGGCCAAAUUAUUGUUAUUUAGCUGAAUAUAUUCCCUGGCAACUUAUUUGUGGUAUGUCCUUAUCUGUGUACCUUAUAUGACUAAUGAUGAUUGUUUAUGGAGAGCUGCCUGUCCAAUUAUUUUUGAAGGAACACAAGAAUGCAGAAUGACUGGAAGCAUCAGGUUUUUGCCAGAGAAUGCCUCAGGUAAGAGGAGAAUGGCUAGAGGCUAUAAGGAAUCACAAGAGACAAGUCAGAGUCGUAAAUUGGGAAACUGACAUAUCUCAUCUAAUAUACUUGCUAACUAGGCCUUUAAAAACCUUGACGUUUAACUAAGUUUGUGGAAAAGUUAUGGAUUUUUGUCCUUUCCCAUUGACUAUAACUCAUUAAUAUGAUGAACUGAGAUGUUUAUAAUCAUUUCCGACAUUAGCAGACUAACCUAUGGAAUGAUUUAGCGUCGCAGUUCAAAACCUUGCACUUGCAGAACUACUUAACGCAGAUUGCAUCCGUUUCAAAGACCAGUCAGUCAAAUAAGAUACUUGCAAGUUAUUUAUCGUUUUGGUUUCUCACUGCAUGACAUGGCAUGAAAGGCUUUACUUUUUUUCUCUCUCUCUCUCUCUCCAGCUCAAGACAUUUAAAUAAUACUUCAGAACCUUUUUGGAGCAGACCCAAACCUUUACUGAAAUAAACAGAGGUUUUGAAUUGUUUUAUUUUAAAAUGGGCUACAGUGACAUGAGUGCCACUUCCAAGCAAUCUAAUUAAAAUAUGAAUUAUUAUCCUAGACAGCAAGCAAAUAAUAUAUUUGCAUGUUUUAGUUGGCAUGUGCUAUGUGAUCAGAAAUACGAAGACGUGUAUCAUUUCUUUAGUAAGCAAAGGCAUUCACUUUAACAUAUGUCGUUAGAUAGCUUUUUUAAAUAAAAGAGGAGACAGGGUUUAAAAUUUCUAUUUGUAGUUGCAAUUGUGAUUUUUUCAUAGUUGUAGUACUGAGCAUUGUGACAUGUGGAAUUCUCAUAAUUGAUUAUACUAAAAAAAGACAAAAUAUAAAAUAAUAAAUGAGAAUUGAUGUUUUGAGGUGAGGAAUGUAGACCUAGUAGUAAUGGCCCGAGGAACAUUGGGCUACACACUGCUGGACAAGGUUAGGAAGGAUGGCUGCUAAAUCAGUACAUGGUCUGAGAUUAUUAUGGCUGAAUAAAGAACAAAAUCCUCCCAUAUAAUCUCUGUAAAUAUAAUGAUUUUCAAGCACAACUCAUUGCACCUUAUGUGCCUGCCUGCUGAGCAGAGAUACAAAUACCUAAGACAAGAGUCUUCUCUGCGAUUGUACCGAAAUUUUAUAUCUCUCUUUUCAACAUCACCAUUUUGGCUUUCAUUUAGGUGACAAAUGAAAAGUUUGUUCUUGAUCAACCUUUUAGGAGCUUUUGACUUUUUUUUUCUUUGUAUUUUUAUCUGCUGGCUCCUGGGUUGGAAUUAUUUGUUGGUUAUUUUAUCUCAUUUUGUGAAAUGAACACAAUUCACUUUGGGGACUGAUUGAGUCAAAGGGAAAGGUAUGUAUUUAUUUCUGCUACAAGUACCACCAACACCACAAUGAUCAAUAACAAAAAUUAUAGCAAUAAUUCCAUAGCAGUGACUAAGCCCCCAUUUACACUGCAUAUAACAUCCAGAUUAUCCACUUUUAACUCAUUAAUUAUUAUGGAUUAUAUGGCAGUGUAGACUCAUAUAAUCCAGUUCAAAGCAGAUAAUGUGGAUUAUCUGCUUUGAUAAUAUGGAUUUUUUGGCAGUGUAGAAGGGGCCUCGGUGAAUCUGUUCUGGGUCUUAACUCAGACUGCAAGAGAGAGAUCCAAGACUAUUUCAGCACCUUAGACAGCUCUUUCAACAUUCAAAUUUCAAAUUAAAACUCAAGUUGGAUUUCCUGUUCCACUGAACAUAAGUUUAGUAGUAGGUUGUUGUGAGUUUUCCGGGCUGUAUGGCCAUGUUCCAGAAGCAUUCUCUCCUGACGUUUCACCCUCAUCUAUGGUAGGCAUCCUCAGAGGAUAUAAGGUCUGUUGGAAACUAGGAUUUAUAUAUUUGUGGAAUGUCCAGGAUGAGAGAAAGCAUUCAUUGUCUGUUUGAGGCAAGUGUGAAUGUUGCACCUUGAUUAGCUCUGAAUAGCCUUGCAGCUUCAAAGCCUGGGUGAUUCCUGUUUUCGCAGUAGGUUUUUAAAGAAUGAUUAAACAAUUAAAACAAUAAUAAACUACAACAGUAAUAUUCUUUGUUUACAAAUAGUUGUUAUAGCUCAAUAGUAAAAUCAGUCCAUAUUAAGAAGAGGUUUCUCCAAAAAUUUCAGCUUGUGGAUCCUUAAGCUGUUUCAGGUUUAAUGGCAAAAUCAAUACCAAAUUGUCCCAUGAAUCUGCUAAAUGGAAAUAAAAAACCCAGAAGAUAUAUGUUGUUAUAGUGCUCAUGUUGCACUGCCACAGUAUGAGUACAAACAAGGGCAAAAAUGGAGUGUUGUUUGAGCAUUGUGUGGGAAAAGUGGAUCUUAAUUAAGAACUACUUAUACGUUUGCUUAGAGUCUUCCCCCAUCCCAAUGCCAGCAGAAUGUUUUACCUAGAGAAGGGACAGAAUAUAUGAAUGAAUCAUCUUACUGAAGUUAUUAGAGAGCCAGAUUAACCGGCUUCACCUCCUCCUCCCUUAUUUUCCUGACAGAGGUUCUUUUUAACAAUAUAUAUAAAUGUUUUCAUUUGUGCAAAAUACAAUGCUUCAACGUCAAAUCUUGUAUUUUGCAUAGAUCUGAUCUCCCCCCCCCAAAAAAAACUAUCUCUUUGUAAAAAUAUUUUGAAAUGCCAAAACAAAAUAGAAAAGCUGUUGCACAGCAGGGAGACAACAUAUUCAACACUUAAUUGUUUGAAAUUCUCAUAUAUGAAAAUGAAAUAAGCAAAGAUUUAUAUACCUUCCCGAAAAACAAGUGGGUGAGUCCUGUGACUUUAACUGGGACUGUUCUGUUUGUAGUUUCACCUGCUCUGUUUCUUCUCUUGUUAUAAUCUUCAAUCAGAAGGAGUACCUGUGUUUGCUGACUAGUUUUGUAAUAUGAUUGUAGUCUUUUUGAGUUAUUGCAUGGCUUGCUUUAAAAAAAUGUUUUAGCAGCUUUGAAUGGUAUACAUUUAAUUCUUUUAGUUCUUAAUUUACCUCCCUACAAUUCUACCUGCCUGACAUGGAGGCAUAGUGAAUGGAUUUGAUAUUUACUCAUCUAUAAUUUGGGCAUGUAACAGUUGAUUCUCUGUCCUGAAAACAAUUUCCCCAAUUAUUACAGUUCUUUGUCUUUUUCAUGUAUUUUAACUAUGUUGUACCCAGCCUUGAGCUGUGAGGAGAGGGGAGUAACAAAUAAAUUAUUAACAAUAAAUAAUAAUAAUAAUAAUAAUAAUAAUAAUAAUAAUAAUAAUAAUAAUGGAUGUGGCUCACAAAUGGAACUUUGAAAAAGGAGACCGAGGGCCUGAUUCAUUCAGCCAAAGAACAAGCAAUUAGAACGAAUGCUAUCAAAACCAGUAUUGAAAAGUCAGCUACAGACUCAAAGUGUAGACUCUGCAAGGAAGCAGAUGAAAUGAUGGAUCACAUCCUCAGCUGCACAGAGGCAUACUACCGUGGCUCAGGUGACACAUUGGAACUUGUGCCACAAAUACCAUCUGCCUGCGACAAAAACCUGGUAGGAUUACAAGCCUGAAAAAGUUACAGAAAAUGAGCACGUCAAACUACUCUCGGACUUCCAAAUUCAGACUGACAGAGUUUUGGAGCACAAUACUCCUGGCCUCACAAUCAUGGGAAAAAACAAUGUAUGGAUCGUCGAUGUUGCAAUCCCAGGUGACAGCAGUAUCAACUAGAAGCAACUGAAAAAGCUUACAGGAUAUGAGGAUUUAAAAAUCGAACUGCAAAGACUUUGGCACAAGCCAGUCAAGGUGGUCCCAGUGGUGAUCGGCACAUUGAGUAUAGUGCCUAAAGACUUUGGCCGGCAAUUGAAAACAAUCAGUGUUGACAAAAUUACUAUCUGUCAGCUGUAAAAGGCCAUCCUACUUGGAUCUGUACGCAUUACUCCCCGAUACACUACAUAGUCCUAGACACUUGGGAAGUGUCCGGCAUGUGAUACAAUACAAAAGCUAGCAUAGUGAUCUUGUUUUCUGUGUACUAAUCUUGUUGUGUAUCAAAUAAUGAUGAUGAUGAUGAUGAUACUUCACUUCCUCCAAAUCUCCACAGUGAUCUUUAGACCAGUUGCUCCACAGAAGAUCUAGCAGCUCCACAGAAGCAAUGUUUAUUCAUAUGCAAAUAGGCCCUAGGACUCAGAUCCAGCAAGUUUGUAACUGAUCCUAAGUACUAUUUCAAUAAACUAUAUUUUUAAGGUAGUAGUUGUAAAUUUAUUGAUUAGCCUCUAGGCCAUAUCACAGUACCAAACCAAACAAAAAGGCUUGAUAAAACAUGAUUACACACUAUAAAGUUAAAUAAAACACUUAUAACAAUACAGUAAAUACAUAUGAUAAAACUGAAUAUACAUAUAUAAACUAUAGUACUUAAAUACAGUAGACUCUCAGUUAACUUGCACCCAUGUGUAUUGGUAGGUGCUGGAUUUAAUUUAAUUUCUGGUUGCUUAAAAAUUACUAUUAAAACUAGUCCUAACUAAUACUAUACUUCAUAUCAUACCAUAAACUCUGUGUUGACUUGAUAUUAAUAUUGAAAUAUUAAUAUUGUGAAACAUUGUGAACAUUGUGAAAGCCACCCACUGCAUGGCUAUCACCCUCCUCCCACCAGACUCAAAUCAAGGAAGGGCUUCAUGAGAACCACCACUCCUCUUGAUGUUCCUCCAGCAACAGCAAGGGUGUCCCUCUGGGCAGCUAAACCUGGCAAUUCUAACUGGAUGGCCCUCCAAGAGGGUCUUCCUCCAGGGGCAAACCAAGAAUGGGCAACUUGGAAGUCCCUGAACAGACUCAGAAGUGGAGUGGGCAGAUCAAAAGACAACUUGGCAAGGUGGCACUACCUGGAGGAAUCCUCCACCUUGUGUGACUGUGGAGCUGAACAAACAACUCCUCAUAUGUAUGCUUGCCCACAAUGCCCUGCCUCAUGCACGGAGGAGGAGUUGUUUAAAGCUACAGACAAUGCGGUUGCUGUUGCCCACUUUUGGUCCAAAACUAUUUAGUUGCUUGUGAUUUCUUCUUCUUUUUUUAUUUCCAUUAUUUGAAAUGUAUUCGUUGUACAAUGCUUUUGACACGAAAUAAAUAAAUAAAUAUUGAAAUACAUUAAUUAAAAGCAAAUAAAGACAAA